rnacentral:tRNA from 1 species
GGGAGUGUAGCUCAGUGGUAGAGCCCCUGACUAGCAUGUGGGAGGCCCUGGGUUCAAUCCCCAGCACCA